rnacentral:misc_RNA from 1 species
AAAAUGCGAUAAGUGACAUGAAUUGCAGAAUCCUGUGAAUCGUCGAAAUUUCGAACGCACUGCGCCCGGGAGAAAUCCCGGGCACGUCUGACCGAGUGACGCUAUUAUCACUUGCACAUCUCCAACAUACGUAUAAAAGCGGUUGGGGAAGGCAGACUUUGUGGGCUUUGUGUAUUUGCACCAAAUAACACUCCCAUUUAAGCUAUUGCUGUGUAAAUCCCAUCACGUUGUGGGCAAGUAAAGGUCUCCGCCGCGAAUAUUACGUCUUUUGUGUUCCUGGCGGGUUCAUAUGUGUUAAUCUUGCCUUCCCUGUGGUGGGUCUUUGGCAGCCUUUUUUACAAGUGCAGAGACAACUGCUUUACAAAACACCAUAACCGUCCUCGGAUCAGGCGGGAUUACC